rnacentral:rRNA from 1 species
GACGAACGCUGGCGGCGUGCUUAACACAUGCAAGUCGAACGGAAAGGCCCUGCUUUUGUGGGGUGCUCGAGUGGCGAACGGGUGUGUAACACGUGAGUAACCUGCCCUUGACUUUGGGAUAACUUCAGGAAACUGGGGCUAAUACCGGAUAGGAGCUCCUGCUGCCUGGUGGGGGUUGGAAAGUUUCGGCGGUUGGGGAUAGACUCGCGGCUUAUCAGCUUGUUGGUGGGGUAGUGGCUUACCAAGGCUUUGACGGGUAGCCGGCCUGAGAGGGUGACCGGCCACAUUGGGACUGAGAUACGGCCCAGACUCCUACGGGAGGCAGCAGUGGGGAAUAUUGCACAAUGGGCGGAAGCCUGAUGCAGCAACGCCGCGUGCGGGAUGACGGCCUUCGGGUUGUAAACCGCUUUCGCCUGUGACGAAGCGUGAGUGACGGUAAUGGGUAAAGAAGCACCGGCUAACUACGUG